rnacentral:rRNA from 1 species
GGCUGGCGGCGUCCUCAUACAUGUCAGUCGAGCGAAUCUUUGGGAGCUUGCUCCUAAAGGUUAGCGGCGGACGGGUGAGUAACACGUGGGCAACCUGCCUAUAAGACUGGGAUAACUUCGGGAAACCGGAGCUAAUACCGGAUAAUUCUUUUCUACACAUGUAGGAAAGCUGAAAGACGGCUUACGCUGUCACUUGUAGAUGGGCCCGCGGCGCAUUAGCUAGUUGGUGGGGUAACGGCUCACCAAGGCCACGAUGCGUAGCCGACCUGAGAGGGUGAUCGGCCACACUGGGACUGAGACACGGCCCAGACUCCUACGGGAGGCAGCAGUAGGGAAUCUUCCGCAAUGGACGAAAGUCUGACGGAGCAACGCCGCGUGAGUGAUGAAGGUUUUCGGAUCGUAAAACUCUGUUGUUAGGGAAGACCAAGUACGAGAGUAACUGCUCGUACCUUGACGGUACCUAACUAGAAAGCCACGGCUAACUACGUGCCAGCAGCCGCGGUAAUACGUAGGUGGCAAG